UACGUAGGGUGCAGGCGUUGUCCGGAAUUAUUGGGCGUAAAGAGCUCGUAGGCGGCUUGUCGCGUCGGUUGUGAAAGCCCGGGGCUUAACUCCGGGUCUGCAGUCGAUACGGGCAGGCUAGAGUGUGGUAGGGGAGAUCGGAAUUCCUGGUGUAGCGGUGAAAUGCGCAGAUAUCAGGAGGAACACCGGUGGCGAAGGCGGAUCUCUGGGCCAUUACUGACGCUGAGGAGCGAAAGCGUGGGGAGCGAACAGG
rnacentral:rRNA from 1 species